rnacentral:piRNA from 1 species
UAGGAUUGGUAAGGAAUUUCAUGAUGUUGA